AAUGUCGAUGAUGACUCCAUAGACCUGUAACGAUUGCGGAGAUGACCGCAAAAAUUGAACAUCUAAGGGGCUGAGGCAUU
rnacentral:snoRNA from 1 species